UUACAGAAAGAUAGUCUUAUAGUAGUCAAGUCUUAUUAUUCCAAUAAAAAGCGAAGUAGGGAAAGUAGGAAGUAGGCUAGUCGAGGAAUCAAAUUUCAACUAUUAACCAUAUUUAUGGCUUUCACUUAUGGGUGAGGUCUUUGAGUAAUGCGAUAUCUAUCCUAACUAUGAUCGCCCCGUAUGGGGCUUCGCUAAACAUCUUGUGUUGCUCAUUUUCCCGAAAACGCUUGUCACUGAUUAGCCCAACAGAUUCGGAAGUCUUUUACACGCAAUACAUAGUAUGAGUGUGUGCAUGUACACAUAGUACACAUAUUUGUGGGACUUUUGUUAAACACUUGAGCGGAUUAUCAUGAAUAAGGUUGGAUUAGAGGAGCACAGGGAAACAGAGGAAUGGACCGAAACCAAAUAGAGCCAGGCGCGUGCAUUUGACAUUUCAAACUGUGAUAAUUCAAUUGUGGGCUGUGUACUAUUAGUAGCCCGACGAAUAUCUGGAUUAGCUAGCUCCUCGAUCAGAGCUCUCCCGUCAUAAAAAACGAACACAACUAAUAAACAAAAUAAGUGUAGCGCCUCUGCAGGCUAUACAUAUGUAGUAUCUGUGCUCCUCUGAUCCUUCAGAAAUCAGAAACAACUCUUGUGGAACACAACACCGGAAUAUUGUAUCUAAAAAAGAACGUACUGCUUGCGCGCCCCAAGAGAUUUACUUGUGCGAGUAUCCCGCUCUAUGGAGAACCAUAGAGAACCAGACGCACUCAAAACCCGAAUCGGACUGAAUUUGAUUUUCAUCGGCGGGGCAUGCACUACCGAAAAGCUUUAAUAAAAUAAUAAAACAACAAAAUAAACACAAAUAUGUAAAUCCAAAAA